UUUAGAUAUGCUAGAUUUAAAAAGGAUACAUCAACCGUCGUUUGGGGGAAUUUAAAUCACAUAUUAUUUUAUUUGAAUAGGAAUGUUUAAUGUUUUUGAGGUUUUUUUUCAUAUAAUUAGACAGUUGCUAAUCGACACCAGGCAAGGAAGGCAAAAAGUAACCACGAACUGCCCAGUUUUAAAUAAGUAAAAGACUGAUGAUUCUAUAAUUGGAGAAUUUCCUUUGAUCACAGAAAUCUCUUACACACGGAUCAGGGGUGACUGUUAAAAUUCAACACAUUUCCACAAAUAAAUGAUUUUAACCGCUUUAUGAAGAGCCGCUGUCUAACCUACAAAUAUCAUAAACAACUUAAUCAAUGUCAGUUCAUGUGCACGAUAACUGGCGAAACACUUGGAUGUCUUCGUUAUGUUAUACUUUAAAAGAGGCUGUUCACUUCAGAAAACUGAUUUGAGUGUAAGCAGAAAAUUCUGAUUGUUUAUCCAAGUCACGACACCCACUUGACCAAACACCAGCUCCCAAAGGUGGGGCGGACAGACAUAAGGACAGCUGCUUGGCUUCAGCAGUAUGUUCAUCAUCGAACUCAAACAAAUCAUUCACCGAAUAAAAAUGUACAAGUUUGAACAUUCUCAAUUAGAAGCAGAGGUAUUGUGUACCAAAAAUUGUGACACGCGUACAGACAGACGAAAAAAUAAGCACAAGACAAAAAGACGAACCCCGAAGGAUCGAAAUAUUAAUUUACGAGAUGGAACAGAUCCAUCAAUAUCACCACAGAACUAUCAACACCAUCAUCAGAAAAUUGUGCGCUCACCAUAUUAUCUUCUGUAUAUUAACUUAUUUGUAUUUAUCUAAAUUACUAUAUAUCCGUUUUUGAUUUUGAUCUAUUGUGACAUUGGAG